rnacentral:rRNA from 1 species
GGGGAAUAUUGGGCAAUGGGCGAAAGCCUGACCCAGCAACGCCGCGUGAAGGAAGAAGGCCCUCGGGUUGUAAACUUCUUUUAUUCGGGACGAAACAAAUGACGGUACCGAAUGAAUAAGCCACGGCUAACUACGUGCCAGCAGCCGCGGUAAUACGUAGGUGGCGAGCGUUAUCCGGAUUUACUGGGUGUAAAGGGCGUGUAGGCGGGACUGCAAGUCAGAUGUGAAAAUUAUGGGCUCAACCCAUAACCUGCCGUUGAAACUGGGAGUCUUGAGUAUGGAUGAAGUAGGCGGAAUUCGUUGUGUAGCGGUGACAUGCAUAGAUAUAACGAGGAACUCCGAUUGCGUAGGCAGCUUACUACGCCAUGACUGACGCUCAUGCACGAAAGCGUGGGGAUCAAACA